rnacentral:rRNA from 1 species
AGGACGAACGCUGGCGGCAUGCCUAACACAUGCAAGUCGAGCGGCAGCGCGGGGGCGACCCUGGCGGCGAGCGGCGGACGGGUGAGUAAGGCAUCGGAAUCUGCCCUGAUGUGGGGGAUAACGUAGGGAAACUUACGCUAAUACCGCAUACGACCGAGAGGUGAAAGCGGGGGACCGAAAGGCCUCGCGCAGCAGGAUGAGCCGAUGUCCGAUUAGCUGGUUGGUGGGGUAACGGCCUACCAAGGCAAAGACGGGUAGCUGGUCUGAGAGGACGAUCAGCCACACUGGCACUGAGACACGGGCCAGACUCCUACGGGAGGGAGC